AAACUGCGAAAAGUAAUGUGAACUGCAUACUUUGUGAAUCAUCGAAUCUUCGAAUGCACAUUGCGCCACUUGACUUUGUCACUUGGCAUGCUUGUUUGAGUAUCACGCAACCAAUGCUGCUCCCUUUUUGGGACAGCGCAGUGAGAUCCAGAUGCCUUGCGCAUUUGCUUCUUCAAAAGCAUGGAGUGGGGAGGCUUAUUAAGUUUGAGCCGCACUGAGGGUCCCGUACUACUUUUUUGGAUAUUUCUUUGAAAAAGUUUGCGGGGCGUGUAAGGAGCCACACCGACGAUGCUGGCCGACGGACGCUUGCGUCUGGCGGUCACACAGCAGCGCUUGCGCAGCUCGCGAACGAUCUCAAAUCAAGCAAGACUACCCGCUGAACUUAA
rnacentral:misc_RNA from 1 species